rnacentral:rRNA from 1 species
AUUGAACGCUGGCGGCAGGCUUAACACAUGCAAGUCGAACGAGUGGCGGACGGGUGAGUAAUGAUUGGGAAUCUGGCCUAUGGAGGGGGAUAACUACGGGAAACUGUCGCUAAUACCGCAUACCAUAGGAUGAGCCCAAAUGGGAUUAGGUAGUUGGUGGGGUAAAGGCUCACCAAGCCGACGAUCCCUAGCUGGUCUGAGAGGAUGACCAGCCACCCUGGAACUGGUACACGGCCCGGACUCCACCGGGAGGCAGCAGUGGGGAAUAUGGGACAAUGGGGGCAACCCUGACCCAGCCAUCCCGCUGGUAUGAAGAAGGCCUUCGGUUGGUAAAGUACUUUCGGCGAUGCGGCGUUACCCGCAGAAGAAGCACCGGCUAACUCCGUGCCAGCAGCCGCGGUAAUUC